rnacentral:rRNA from 1 species
UACAGAGGGGGCAAGCGUUGUUCGGAAUUACUGGGCGUAAAGGGCGCGUAGGCGGCCUGUUAAGUCGAACGUGAAAUCCCCGGGCUCAACCCGGGAACUGCGUCCGAUACUGGCAGGCUUGAAUCCGGGAGAGGGAUGCGGAAUUCCAGGUGUAGCGGUGAAAUGCGUAGAUAUCAGGAGGAACACCGGUGGCGAAGGCGGUGGUCUGGGCCGGCACUGACGCUGAGGAGCGAAAGCGUGGGUAGCAAACAGG